CUUGGAGCCAUCUUUGAAUAAAUUGGAGCAUCUCCACUAACAUCAACAAUGAUUAAGGUUUACAGCCAUUUGGGUGGAGUUAGCACGGUCCUGCCAUCCUCCAGAAAGCUGGUGUUGGAUACGAGGUCAUCUGUCACCACGAGACAGCCUGACAUCUCCUGAGGCUGCAUGGUUGGGAGAGAUGUGGACAGAAGAACAAGCUGUUCUGCUUCAGUUCACUGAAGCAAAUUUAUGAUGCAGGCACCAAAGCCAGCUCAGUCCUGAAAUGAAUCUGCUGCUUUACAAAAAGCAAAGGUGUUGGGGCUGUGCUCUGCUAUAGGGAAAUCCAGAAUGGGUGCAUUCAUUGUCUGCCCUCAGCAGUGCUUUAUCCAGGUGACCUCUGUCCCUUUUCCUGCUGAUGUACUCCACUUGCAGCAUCACUUGAAUAAUUUCAGUAUCCUGUCUGAGGAGUUCUCUUGCUGAAGUUUUCCCUUAUUUGCCUUUGUAUUGUCUCCCCCCACCUCUCUCUUUGUGGAUGAUGUCAAGAGAAGCUAUUUUCCUCUCUCUGUUGCAGUUGAUGCCGAUGCUUUUUCAGGAGCCCAAGGGAUGCUGAGAAAAAUGAGAAAAGUUACAGAAAAAGCACUUUUAUGUAAUGUAUCUCCAUGCUGGGUGGAGAUCUCUGGUGUGCCUGAUCCGAGGGGAAGAGGUUAUCCAUGCGCUGCUCAGCGAUGCUCUGUUCCCCUUUCCAUUGCUCUCUGUUCAGCACAUUCCUGGUGGGGGUGAUGCCAACUUGUCACGAGUCACAUCUAUGUACAUCUCAUAAAGGAAAUCUGUUAGCAGCCAAUACUUUUCACUGAACUCUGUGAGAUUUUCUU
rnacentral:lncRNA from 1 species